UACGUAGGGUGCGAGCGUUGUCCGGAAUUAUUGGGCGUAAAGAGCUCGUAGGCGGUGUGUCACGUCGGCCGUGAAAACCUGCAGCUUAACUGUGGGCGUGCGGUCGAUACGGGCAUCACUGGAGUUCGGCAGGGGAGACUGGAAUUCCUGGUGUAGCGGUGAAAUGCGCAGAUAUCAGGAGGAACACCGGUGGCGAAGGCGGGUCUCUGGGCAAUAACUGACGCUGGAGGAGCGAAAGCGUGGGGAGCGAACAGG
rnacentral:rRNA from 1 species